CUUAUAUCUUUAAAGUUAUAUUUAUAUUACAGAGCCUUGUUAAAACUCUUAGUUAAUAGAUUAGAUUUUUCUGUAAAUAAUAAUAUUUAUUACUGAGGAAUAAAUGUAAAAGGAACUCUAUAGAUGUCAGUGUUGUAUAUCAUAGUCAUUGUUUUCGGUGGUAGAGUCACUUGUGUAAGGGAGGGGUAAGGCCUACGGCACGUCGCAUGUUGCAGUCGUCAUUACAGUUUGGACUAGCGUCGAGUUCAGUGGUGUUAUUCUUUAAUGAGAAAAGAAACAUGUGGAGAUAUAAAAAAAAGGUCGGAAUUUUAAACAUUCUUUAUUAUCCGCCAAUCGAGGAUAGCGAUGAAAAAAGGAGGAGAAUUACCGUGAAGGUACAUCUGCCGUACGCGGAAGGUUCAGUAACGCAAAUAGACAAUUUCAUGAGUAUUUCGCAUAAGUUGCAAAAGGUAGAGGAUCGCAAAAAAUGGAGGAAGGAGAUCGAGACGGUGUGGGAGAAUCGGGAGGAGGGUUCUUUCAAUUUGGAGGAACUCUUUGAGCUGGAGCUCCCGAAAGAUACUUUUAAGGAGGUGGAAGAGUCUUGGGUGUCUGUGGUGAGCAGACAUGGGGAUCUGUGGAAGUUUGGAUCUCUCGUUCUCCCGAACCACCCUUGAAAUCCUAAUGCCAGUUGGUGCGAAGAUCAUCUCAGAUGUGGACGUCCGAGGGUUCGUUAACAUGAGGAGAGGACGCGAGAUCCGUUGGGCUAGGAUUAGAUCGAGGAGAGCGAUGGAAGCUUUGUGGGAGAGUCGAGGCGAAGACAUCUUUAGUUUAGGGUGAUUGUUCAAACAGAGCGUUUCUCGCAAGAGGUACCAAGCUCUUUUGGUCGCUCUGCGUAACUCCUCUCCCCGGCUCUAUCAGACCGCUCCCUUGAUCAAAAGUCCGGUCCAUCGUCGGGUCCUUCGCCAGCUUGAUCGUCGGACCAAUCGUCAGGCUAAUCCUCCGACUAAUCGGGAGACAAGUCAUCCUGCAACCGCCAUUGUUCUACCAAUGUGUCCACUCUGUGGGCGGAAGAGGUUGGAGGUGUAAAGAGAUGACAGAAAUCGGGAUGGGGUGAGAGGAUCGGCUCUAGGAGAUGGCAACGCGUCUCUUACAUGGGGCGAUUGAAUUAGAGGGGCGACUGAACAUACAAGACCGGUACUACUGUGGAACUGUCCUCGAGAAAGGCCCUCCUUGUAAAAUAAUAAGAAAAAUCUAUAGUUUUAUAAAUAUUUACAUGAAAUACUUGAGUCUAAAUAAACGAUUUUCUCACCAUAUUAA